CCUACGGGUGGCAGCAGUGAGGAAUAUUGGUCAAUGGUAGGAAUGCUGAACCAGCCAAGCCGCGUGAAGGACGACGGUGCUAAGGAUUGUAAACUUCUUUUGUCAAGGGACAAAAUCAGGGUCGUGAGCCUGACUGAGGGUAUCUGAAGAAAAAGCAUCGGCUAACUCCGUGCCAGCAGCCGCGGUAAUACGGAGGAUGCGAGCGUUAUCCGGAUUUAUUGGGUUUAAAGGGUGCGUAGGCGGGCUGUUAAGUCAGCGGUAAAAGUCCGGGGCUCAACCCCGGCGAGCCGUUGAAACUGGCAGUCUUGAGAUGGCGAGAGGUAUGCGGAAUGCGCAGUGUAGCGGUGAAAUGCUUAGAUAUCGCGCAGAACUCCGAUUGCGAAGGCAGCGUACCGGCGGCGGUCUGACGCUGAGGCACGAAAGCGUGGGGAUCGAACAGGAUUAGAUACCCUGGUAGUC
rnacentral:rRNA from 1 species